ACCCUAUCUGGCAGCUCUGCAUCAGCUCGGUUCCGCUGAUGGUGCAUGUCAAUUUUAAAUCCGAAGUCGUACGACCAACCCCUCGGGCGUCCGCCGCCGAACGCAGCCAAGCAAGAGAGACUGAGAUCGAAGCAGCGGAGGAGACUGAACGGGGGAGAAGAUGAGCGCGAUAGGAGGCUCAAUUUUCUUGCAAUCUGCACUCUGCCAAUCCUCGCCGUCCUCUCGCUACUGUUCUCCAUUGAUGUAUCCUUCUCACAGGAAAGUUGCCCGGAAGAGAAGGGCAUCGGUCAUUUCUUAUUUUUGGAAUGGCGGAAGGUCAUUCGAUGAGAGAUAUUCCGUCCGAAGGAGGGUUGUUCUAUUGGUUGGCAUCUCUGUUUUUCCCUUAUUGCAGUUCAGAGAGGUAGCUGCUGAAGAGCCGGUGGAAGGAACUAAAUUGAGAGAAUCUAAUAUAGAUACUUCAGAUUCUAGAGCGACUGCAAUAGAAUCUCAAGUCCCUAGAGCUGCUGAAAAUGAUGUCGGAGUACAAUUUCCUACGAUAAAAAAACAGGAAUUUCCUUCUCAACAGCAUAAGCAAGCGAAGGGUGAUGCCAAAGAAAAUAGUGGUGGAAGUUCAUUUGUAUCAUUCAUAAAUGGGAUUGGAAUAAUUGGGUCAGGUGUGCUUGGUGCAUUAUUUUCUGCAUCACAGAGGGAGAAGAAGGCACUGGAAUCCACUAUAGAUUCUAUGACAGCUCAGGCAAAUGAUCAGGAAAUAGCUGCUGCUUUGAUGAAGAAAAGUUUUGAGACUAAAUUAUUGAAUGAACAGGAAGAUUACCAGAGACAGCUUAGGAAGUUAAAGGAUGAUGAAGCAUCGCUGUUAAGUCAAUUAACUUCUGCCAAGGAUGCAGCAGCAGCUUUAGGUCGAGAACUCAAUGAUGAGAAAAAGUUUGUUGAGGAGCUCAUAUCACAAAGAGGCCAACUUGAACAUUCUUUGACACUAGCUAGGGAGGAUAAGAAGUUACUUGAAGAUGAAAUCCACAAAAAGGUAGGCAGAAUUACUUCUUUGCAGGAUGAAUUAAGCCAUCUUUCAUUAGAAAAUAAUGAAAAGAUGUCCAACAUCCAAAACCUCAAAUCAUUGCUAGCUAAAACAGAAUCAGAAUGCAAGAAUAUGAGCUCUGCUUUGGAACAGGCAAGGUUCAACCUUGCAACAGCAAAUUCCAGGAUUGAGCAGUUGAAAGAAGACAUCAACAUGGUCAGAACAGAUUCCAAUUCAAAGGAUUCAAUUAUAGACGACCUACAUGAAAAAAUUAAGUCUCUAACUGAAGAAAAGAAUGAUUCUAAUAUCAAAUUUUAUGAUCUUAUGAAAGAAUACAAUGCUUUGGUUUCCUACUCAGAGAGAACAACUGUCCUUAAUUCUGAACUGUUGUCCAGAAAAGAUGAACAGCUACAACAACUGGAUGAAAAUCUUAAAAUUGCUUUGAAUGAAGCGAGUAGCAAGCACGCAAUAAUCUCUGAGUUGACAAUAGAAAGGGAUAAUGCAAUUAUGCUACUGGAGAAGGAAAAGAAUAAUAUAUAUAAAUUAACAAAUGAGCUCCAGAGCGCCCAAGAAAUGUUAGAUGCUUCAGAAGCAAAGGUUUCUCAUACGUCCAAAGAACUAACGGAGACCAGAACUGCCUAUGAGGAAGUUAUGUCCACUAUUUCUAAGAUGCAAAAUGAGUAUGACCAGACAAGGCAGUUAAUGAAUUAUAACCUGGAAGAGGCGAAGGCUACUUCAAUGAUUCUUUCGGAUAAACUUGAAUCAGCCAAGGUGGUCCUUAAGCAUACAGAAGAAGAGCUUGUUUCUGCAUCUAAUGAAUUGAGAGCCGCUAUCGAGGAGCGUGAAAGCCUGAAGAUGGAAUUGGUUGAUAACUAUCAAAAGAUCCAAACAACAUCGAAUCAGCUACAAGAGGAAAGGAAGACAGUUACCAACUUGAAUAAAGAGCUCGAGGCAUUACAGAAGCAAAUUCUGAAAGACUCGGAAGCACGGAGAAGCCUUGAAGCUGACUUAGAUGAGGCUACCAGAUCACUCGAUGAAAUGAAUAAGAGCGCGUUGUUGCUCUCUAAAGAACUAGAGAAUACUAAUUCUAGGAGUGCUAGCCUAGAAACAGAAAAGGAGAUUCUCUACAUGUCUUUGAUUGAACAAAAGAAUAUAGCGAAAGAUUCGCUCGAAAAUAUGCAGGAUGCUGAACAUCUCAUUUCUAGGCUUGGUAGUGAGAGAGAGAAGCUAGAGAAGAGGUCGAAAAGGCUUGAGGAAGAACUGGCGGCUGCUAAGGGUGAAAUAUUGAGAUUGAGGAGGAAGGUUAGCGUAGGCCAAGGAUCCAUUAAUGAGCAUCAUUCAAAAUCUAAUGAAGUUCCAGCAGGCGCACCAUUCUCGGUCAAAAGAAAUGUUGGUCGAAGAAAAAAGCAAUCAUUGGGUUCUGACGAUUCAUGAUACGAUUGUUUGAUUAAAUCAACCCUUCCAUAACCAACCCUUGGUUGGAGCCUUGUGGUAUACCAUUUUCUGUUCUAUCAUCAAAUGAUUGACGUUUAAUUCGACCAAACCAUAAGCCGACUUUCUAAUUUUGUCCAGCAUUGGAGCUACACCAACCCUUCAACAAAUAUAUCGUUUCACACUUUGUCUCCAAGUGACUAAGGUAUAGGGAGAAUAUUUUCAUUCUCAAACUAGAGUAAAAUAAGUGUAGUAUUACAUAGAAUUUGUGCCUUUUUUGCUUUCCAUCCUUGUCCCCACCUUUAAACUUUGC